UGUUUCGGCUAGGGGGUCAUCCCGACUUACCAACCCGAUGCAAACUACGAAUACCGAAGAAUGUUAUCACGGGAGACACACGGCGGGUGCUAACGUCCGUCGUGAAGAGGGAAACAACCCAGACCGCCAGCUAAGGUCCCAAAGUCAUGGUUAAGUGGGAAACGAUGUGGGAAGGCACAGACAGCCAGGAUGUUGGCUUAGAAGCAGCCAUCAUUUAAAGAAAGCGUAAUAGCUCACUGGUCGAGUCGGCCUGCGCGGAAGAUGUAACGGGGCUAAACCAUGCACCGAAGCUGCGGCAGCGACACUAUGUGUUGUUGGGUAGGGGAGCGUUCUGUAAGCCUGCGAAGGUGUGCUGUGAGGCAUGCUGGAGGUAUCAGAAGUGCGAAUGCUGACAUAAGUAACGAUAAAGCGGGUGAAAAGCCCGCUCGCCGGAAGACCAAGGGUUCCUGUCCAACGUUAAUCGGGGCAGGGUGAGUCGACCCCUAAGGCGAGGCCGAAAGGCGUAGUCGAUGGGAAACAGGUUAAUAUUCCUGUACUUGGUGUUACUGCGAAGGGGGGACGGAGAAGGCUAUGUUAGCCGGGCGACGGUUGUCCCGGUUUAAGCAUGUAGGCUGGUUGUCCAGGCAAAUCCGGAUAAUCAAGGCUGAGGUGUGAUGACGAGGCACUACGGUGCUGAAGUAACAAAUGCCCUGCUUCCAGGAAAAGCCUCUAAGCAUCAGGUAACAUUAAAUCGUACCCCAAACCGACACAGGUGGUCAGGUAGAGAAUACCAAGGCGCUUGAGAGAACUCGGGUGAAGGAACUAGGCAAAAUGGUGCCGUAACUUCGGGAGAAGG
rnacentral:rRNA from 1 species